rnacentral:rRNA from 1 species
AGAGUUUGAUCAUGGCUCAGGACGAACGCUGGCGGCGUGCCUAAUACAUGCAAGUAGAACGCUGAAGAGAGGAGCUUGCUCUUCUUGGAUGAGUUGCGAACGGGUGAGUAACGCGUAGGUAACCUGCCUUGUAGCGGGGGAUAACUAUUGGAAACGAUAGCUAAUACCGCAUAACAAUGGAUGACACAUGUCAUUUAUUUGAAAGGGGCAAUUGCUCCACUACAAGAUGGACCUGCGUUGUAUUAGCUAGUAGGUGAGGUAACGGCUCACCUAGGCGACGAUACAUAGCCGACCUGAGAGGGUGAUCGGCCACACUGGGACUGAGACACGGCCCAGACUCCUACGGGAGGCAGCAGUAGGGAAUCUUCGGCAAUGGGGGCAACCCUGACCGAGCAACGCCGCGUGAGUGAAGAAGGUUUUCGGAUCGUAAAGCUCUGUUGUAAGUCAAGAACGAGUGUGAGAGUGGAAAGUUCACACUGUGACGGUAGCUUACCAGAAAGGGACGGCUAACUACGUGCCAGCAGCCGCGGUAAUACAUAGGUCCCGAGCGUUGUCCGGAUUUAUUGGGCGUAAAGCGAGCGCAGGCGGUUUGAUAAGUCUGAAGUUAAAGGCUGUGGCUCAACCAUAGUUCGCUUUGGAAACUGUCAAACUUGAGUGCAGAAGGGGAGAGUGGAAUUCCAUGUGUAGCGGUGAAAUGCGUAGAUAUAUGGAGGAACACCGGUGGCGAAAGCGGCUCUCUGGUCUGUAACUGACGCUGAGGCUCGAAAGCGUGGGGAGCGAACAGGAUUAGAUACCCUGGUAGUCCACGCCGUAAACGAUGAGUGCUAGGUGUUGGAUCCUUUCCGGGAUUCAGUGCCGCAGCUAACGCAUUAAGCACUCCGCCUGGGGAGUACGACCGCAAGGUUGAAACUCAAAGGAAUUGACGGGGGCCCGCACAAGCGGUGGAGCAUGUGGUUUAAUUCGAAGCAACGCGAAGAACCUUACCAGGUCUUGACAUCCCGAUGCUAUUUCUAGAGAUAGAAAGUUACUUCGGUACAUCGGUGACAGGUGGUGCAUGGUUGUCGUCAGCUCGUGUCGUGAGAUGUUGGGUUAAGUCCCGCAACGAGCGCAACCCCUAUUGUUAGUUGCCAUCAUUCAGUUGGGCACUCUAGCGAGACUGCCGGUAAUAAACCGGAGGAAGGUGGGGAUGACGUCAAAUCAUCAUGCCCCUUAUGACCUGGGCUACACACGUGCUACAAUGGUUGGUACAACGAGUUGCGAGUCGGUGACGGCAAGCUAAUCUCUUAAAGCCAAUCUCAGUUCGGAUUGUAGGCUGCAACUCGCCUACAUGAAGUCGGAAUCGCUAGUAAUCGCGGAUCAGCACGCCGCGGUGAAUACGUUCCCGGGCCUUGCACACACCGCCCGUCA